GGAGAGUUGCCAGAGUGGUUAAUGGAGCAGUUUGCUAAACUGUCGACGAGCAAUUGUCGCAUGAGUUCGAAUCUCAUACUCUCCGCUA
rnacentral:tRNA from 2 species